AAUCUAUUAGGUUAAGUUGUUGGUCAUUCAAGCAUAAUCCAUGUAUUAAUACACUUAUAACCCUUUAACAAGUUGAUAUUUUUGCAUAAUGCAGUUACUGUCGUAGAUCUUGUUCAUUGAUCAAUUGCUAAUUAUUUUUAUUUCAUCUUGUGCAUGAUCUCUCUCCAUCCGAGUCCAUUUUGGACUCUCCCGUUUGCAUAUCCUCGAGUUUAAGUUCGAUUCUACCUCCUCGAUCCAACAAAGUUGAAAAGUAAGCUGAACUACAGGUGGAAGAGAGGCCGAGAUACGGAAGGUAUACAUGUUGUAUACGUUGAAUUAACAAGAUAUACAAGAAGUAUACAACGAUAUACGAUGGUCGUAUACGCUGUAUACAUCAGCAAAAAUAGGGCCAAAAGCACCAAAAAUUUCCAGCUUUGUAUUUUGUUUAAUUGGGCCGAAACCCAUAUAUUUUAGAAAUUAUUUUGAUAGUUUUAGGACAGGUGGAAGUUGGGCUAAAAGUCCAAAAGAAAGUUAAUUUCUUAUGAUAGUUUAAGACAGGUACAUAUGAGCCAAAGGUCCAAAGCAAAAAUUAGGUCUAAGUACUGGCCCAGGCGAAUAGAAACCAGACUUGGGCCCAAAUCUCCUUCUCUCCUUAUUAUAUAUUUCGUGUUAAUUUUAUUGUUAGUAUAUGCUUAUUUGCUAAUUAAUUUUAA